UAGCAAAAACAAAAUUAAGCCAUAAUCAUUAAAUAAAAAACGUAAGUUGCAAUCAUAUUCGUCAACUCUAAAAGAAAAGUAAUGAUAGAAGAAGAGAGAGAAGAAAUGUCGAGUGGGUUAUCCACGACUAGUGCAUAAUAAGAAGAUAUAACAAUUGAAUGCAGGGCAUUUUAUGCAACUGUUAUUUGCUUGCUUCUCACGGUGGCUCUCCUCCUCUUUUGGGUGUUAAUCUUACCUUGAUGCUCUCAAGUUUCUACUUCUCUUGCUACUCUAAAAAAUAUAGUGUUUUC
rnacentral:lncRNA from 1 species